rnacentral:rRNA from 1 species
AUUGAACGCUGGCGGCAGGCCUAACACAUGCAAGUCGAACGAGUGGCGGACGGGUGAGUAAUGUCUGGGAAACUGCCUGAUGGAGGGGGAUAACUACUGGAAACGGUAGCUAAUACCGCAUACCAUCGGAUGUGCCCAGAUGGGAUUAGCUUGUUGGUGGGGUAACGGCUCACCAGGGCGACGAUCCCUAGCUGGUCUGAGAGGAUGACCAGCCACACUGGAACUGUGACACGGUGUAGACUCAUAAGGGAGGCAGCAGUGGGGAAUAUUGCACAAUGGGCGCAAGCCUGAUGAAGCCAUGCCGCGUGUAUGAAGAAGGCCUUCGGGUUGUAAAGUACUUUCAGCGGGGAGGCGUUACCCGCAGAAGAAGCACCGGCUAACUCCGUGCCAGCAGCCGCGGUAAUUC